GACGGAGGAUGCAAGCGUUAUCCGGAAUGAUUGGGCGUAAAGCGUCCGCAGGUGGCAGCUCAAGUCUGCUGUCAAAGCCCACGGCUUAACUGUGGAAAGGCAGUGGAAACUGAGUAGCUAGAGUGCGGUAGGGGCAGAGGGAAUUCCCAGUGUAGCGGUGAAAUGCGUAGAGAUUGUGAAGAACACCGGUGGCGAAAGCGCUCUGCUAGACCGUAACUGACACUCACAGGACGAAAGCUAGGGGAGCGAAUGGG
rnacentral:rRNA from 1 species